rnacentral:rRNA from 1 species
GCUAAUACCGGAUAAGAAAGCGGAUCGCAUGAUCAGCUUUUAAAAGGCGGCGUAAGCUGUCGCUAUGGGAUGGCCCCGCGGUGCAUUAGCUAGUUGGUAAGGUAAAGGCUUACCAAGGCGAUGAUGCAUAGCCGAGUUGAGAGACUGAUCGGCCACAUUGGGACUGAGACACGGCCCAAACUCCUACGGGAGGCAGCAGGC